GAUGAACGCUGGCGGCGUGCCUAAUACAUGCAAGUCGAGCGAACAGACGAGGAGCUUGCUCCUCUGAUGUUAGCGGCGGACGGGUGAGUAACACGUGGAUAACCUACCUAUAAGACUGGGAUAACUUCGGGAAACCGGAGCUAAUACCGGAUAAUAUUUUGAACCGCAUGGUUCAAUAGUGAAAGACGGUCUUGCUGUCACUUAUAGAUGGAUCCGCGCUGCAUUAGCUAGUUGGUAAGGUAACGGCUUACCAAGGCAACGAUGCGUAGCCGACCUGAGAGGGUGAUCGGCCACACUGGAACUGAGACACGGUCCAGACUCCUACGGGAGGCAGCAGUAGGGAAUCUUCCGCAAUGGGCGAAAGCUUGACGGAGCAACGCCGCGUGAGUGAUGAAGGUCUUCGGAUCGUAAAACUCUGUUAUUAGGGAAGAACAUAUGUGUAAGUAACUGUGCACAUCUUGACGGUACCUAAUCAGAAAGCCACGGCUAACUACGUG
rnacentral:rRNA from 1 species